UGGGGAAUAUUGGACAAUGGGCGAAAGCCUGAUCCAGCCAUGCCGCGUGUGUGAAGAAGGUCUUCGGAUUGUAAAGCACUUUAAGUUGGGAGGAAGGGCAGUAAGUUAAUACCUUGCUGUUUUGACGUUACCAACAGAAUAAGCACCGGCUAACUUCGUGCCAGCAGCCGCGGUAAUACGAAGGGUGCAAGCGUUAAUCGGAAUUACUGGGCGUAAAGCGCGCGUAGGUGGUUCAGCAAGUUGGAUGUGAAAUCCCCGGGCUCAACCUGGGAACUGCAUCCAAAACUACUGAGCUAGAGUACGGUAGAGGGUGGUGGAAUUUCCUGUGUAGCGGUGAAAUGCGUAGAUAUAGGAAGGAACACCAGUGGCGAAGGCGACCACCUGGACUGAUACUGACACUGAGGUGCGAAAGCGUGGGGAGCAAGCAGGAUUAGAUACCCUGGUAGUCCACGCCGUAAACGAUGUCGACUAGCCGUUGGGAUCCUUGAGAUCUUAGUGGCGCAGCUAACGCGAUAAGUCGACCGCCUGGGGAGUACGGCCGCAAGGUUA
rnacentral:rRNA from 1 species